rnacentral:lncRNA from 1 species
UCAGCACAGAAAUCGGCCACAGAAUUUCCUUGGACGGAAAAAUGGAAUGACGCAUCCAUUCGAUCUAUCUAAUAGCAUUCCAGAUUCCUCGUGCAGCAAGCCAGAUCAUGCCCCAGUUGAUUAAUAACAUUGGAAACAAGAGAAUGAGUGGGUUCCCUCCCCCCUUUCUCCUUCGCCGCUGACUGACAUAGCAAAUAAUGAGAGUUCUUCACAUUUUGGCAUCAUUUACAGUAUGUUUUACGGUUUAAAACAAUUUUAAUUGAGGAAACGAC